rnacentral:rRNA from 1 species
CCAUCUCAGUUCGGAUUGCACUCUGCAACUCGAGUGCAUGAAGUUGGAAUCGCUAGUAAUCGCGGAUCAGCAUGCCGCGGUGAAUACGUUCCCGGGCCUUGUACACACCGCCCGUCACACCAUGGGAGUUGGCUUUACCCGAAGGCGCUGUGCUAACCGCAAGGAGGC